rnacentral:rRNA from 1 species
UGCCAGACUCCUACGGGAGGCAGCAGUGAGGAAUAUUGGUCAAUGGCCGAGAGGCUGAACCAGCCAAGUCGCGUGAGGGAUGACGGCCCUACGGGUUGUAAACCUCUUUUGCCGGGGAGCAAAGAGCGGGACGCGUCCCGCCUCGAGAGUACCCGGAGAAAAAGCAUCGGCUAACUCCGUGCCAGCAGCCGCGGUAAUACGGAGGAUGCGAGCGUUAUCCGGAUUUAUUGGGUUUAAAGGGUGCGCAGGCGGUCUGUUAAGUCAGCGGUCAAAGCCCGGGGCUCAACCCCGUACUGCCGUUGAAACUGCGUUUCUUGAGUGGGCGAGAAGUACGCGGAAUGCGUGGUGUAGCGGUGAAAUGCAUAGAUAUCACGCAGAACUCCGAUUGCGAAGGCAGCGUACCGGCGCCCAACUGACGCUCAUGCACGAAAGCGUGGGUAUCGAACAGGAUUAGAUACCCGGGUAAC